rnacentral:rRNA from 1 species
GACGAACGCUGGCGGCGUGCCUAAUACAUGCAAGUCGAACGAGUGACCCCUCGGUGGCAACACCUUGGGCGAUCUAGUGGCUAACGGGUGAGUAACACGUGAGGAACCUGCUCCGAAGAACGGGAUAACUAGAGGAAACUCUGGCUAAUACCGGAUUCCACACCCCGACCGCAUUAUACGGGGAGGAAAUGGAUUCAGCCUCGGGAUGGCCUCGUGGCCUAUCAGCUUGUUGGUGGGGUAACGGCUUACCAAGGCGUCGACGGGUAGGUGGUCUGAGAGGACGAUCAGCCACACUGGGACUGAGACACGGCCCAGACUCCUACGGGAGGCAGCAGUAGGGAAUCUUGCGCAAUGGGCGAAAGCCUGACGGAGCAAUGCCGCGUGAGUGAAGAAGGCCUUCGGGUCGUAAAACUCUGUUAUAAGAGAAGAACAAAUUGUAGAGUAACUGCUGCAGUCUUGACGGUAUCUUAUCAGAAAGCCACGGCUAACUACGUGCCAGCCGCCGCGGUAA